GAUGAACGCUGGCGGCGUGCCUAAUACAUGCAAGUCGAACGCAUUGAGAGAAGUGCUUGCGCUUUUCAAUUUGAGGGGCGAACGGGUGAGUAACACGUGGCAACCUACCUGAUAGCGGGGGAUAACGAGUGGAAACAUUCGCUAAUACCGCAUAACAAUAGAGAAGGCAUCUUCUUUAUUUAAAAGGCGCUUUCAAGCGUCACUAUCAGAUGGGCCCGCGGUGCAUUAGUUAGUUGGUGGGGUGAAGGCCUACCAAGACGAUGAUGCAUAGCCGAGUUGAGAGCCUGAUCGGCCACAUUGGGACUGAGACACGGCCCAAACUCCUACGGGAGGCUGCAGUAGGGAAUCUUCCACAAUGGACGAAAGUCCGAGGGAGCAACGCCGCGUGUGUGAUGAAGGCUUUCGGGUCGUAAAGCACUGUUGUAUGGGAAGAAAUGCUAGGCUAGGAAAUGAGCUUAGUUUGACGGUACCAUACCAGAAAGGGACGGCUAAAUACGUGCCAGCCGCCGCAGUAA
rnacentral:rRNA from 1 species